rnacentral:rRNA from 1 species
GAUGAACGCUGGCGGCGUGCCUAAUACAUGCAAGUCGAGCGAACAGAUGAGGAGCUUGCUCCUCUGACGUUAGCGGCGGACGGGUGAGUAACACGUGGAUAACCUACCUAUAAGACUGGGAUAACUUCGGGAAACCGGAGCUAAUACCGGAUAAUAUAUUGAACCGCAUGGUUCAAUAGUGAAAGACGGUUUUGCUGUCACUUAUAGAUGGAUCCGCGCCGCAUUAGCUAGUUGGUAAGGUAACGGCUUACCAAGGCAACGAUGCGUAGCCGACCUGAGAGGGUGAUCGGCCCCACUGGAACUGAGACACGGUCAAGACUCCUACGGGAGGCAGCAGUAGGGAAUCUUCCGCAAUGGCGAAAGCUUGACGGAGCAACGCCGCGUGAGUGAUGAAGGUCUUCGGAUCGUAAAACUCUGUUAUUAGGGAAGAACAAAUGUGUAAGUAACUAUGCACGUCUUGACGGUACCUAAUCAGAAAGCCACGGCUAACUACGUG